UACGAAGGGGGCUAGCGUUGUUCGGAAUUACUGGGCGUAAAGCGCGAGCAGGCGGUUCUUCAAGUCAGUGGUGAAAGCCCGGAGCUCAACUCCGGAAUUGCCAUUGAAACUGUAGAACUUGAGUACGAGAGAGGUGAGUGGAAUUCCCAGUGUAGAGGUGAAAUUCGUAGAUAUUGGGAAGAACACCGGUGGCGAAGGCGGCUCACUGGCUCGUAACUGACGCUCAGGCGCGAUAGCGUGGGGAUCAAACAGG
rnacentral:rRNA from 1 species